GACGAACGCUGGCGGUGUGCUUAACACAUGCAAGUCGAACGGUAAGGCCCUUUCGGGGGUCCACGAGUGGCGAACGGGUGAGUAACACGUGAGUAACCUGCCCUCAUCUCUGGGAUAACAGUCGGAAACGGUUGCUAAUACUGGAUAUGAGCUUGCAAGGCAUCUUGUGGGUUGGAAAGAUUUUUUUGGUUGGGGAUGGACUCGCGGCCUAUCAGCUUGUUGGUGAGGUAGUGGCUCACCAAGGCUUCGACGGGUAGCCGGCCUGAGAGGGCGACCGGCCACAGUGGGACUGAGAUACGGCCCAAACUCCUACGGGAGGCAGCAGGGGGGAAUAUUGCACAAUGGACGGAAGGCUGAUGCAGCAACGCCGCGUGCGGGAGGACGGCCUUCGGGUUGUAAACCGCUUUCAAUUGUGACGAAGCUUUUUGUGACGGUAGCAGUAGAAGAAGCACCGGCUAACUACGUG
rnacentral:rRNA from 1 species